rfam:Asian citrus Psyllid, Diaphorina citri - Florida Strain, whole genome shotgun sequence.
GUCAGCGGCGAGAGCACGUUGAACGCAAUAGUUCCCAACGGAUCACUGAAGUUAAACAGCGUUACGCGUGGUUAGUAUCCGGAUGGUUGACCAUCGGAUGAUUGGUGUUUCCCGGUCC